UAGGUUGUUAUGACGAUUUUAGUCUAAGAUUCCAAAAUCUGAACAACUACACUUGUCACACGACUUGAAUAUAUGAGGUUUCAAUGACUUUCGAAAAAAAUAUUUUUAAAGCCGAAGCACUUCAUUGCAAAAAUGCUACACUUAUAUAAACUAUAAUUAUUGCGUAUGUAUGGUGCAUUUGUUUGUUUUUCAUGACGUUUCAUAUGAAAUCAAUAAUCUUUGAAACCGAGAAAACCUUAUAUCGAUUAUACAUUAUGCUUAAAUCAGAAUGUUUAUGCAUUAUAUAUGACACUGUUUGGAAUUUUAUUACGUUUCUAAAGAGAAUGAAAAUCUUCGAAACCGAGAAAACCUUGUAUUUAUGACACACUAUGCACUGGCGACAUUUUCUUGUUUUUCAGUGGUAUAAUGCUAUGAUAUAUGAAAACUGUUUGGAUUUUUAUGACGUUUCUAAGGAAAAUCAAAUACCUUAGAAACCGAAGAAAUCUUUGUUUUUUUUAAUGAAUAUCUAUUCAAUUUUCCUACUUAAACUUUAUCAAAUAGCUAUGUUUGGUUUUCUAUGACGUUUCUUAAAGAAACUGGGUUUCCUUAAUUUGAAGCCUAGAAAACUAUCAUUAAAUUCAUAUGUUUUUUUUACUUGAGUUAUAUGUUGACAUGUAUUCUCUAUUAUAUUUUGUGGACCAUAAGCUGUGUAGCUUUAGGUUGCUUCUUAUGACGUUUGCUGAGAAAACCAAUCUCUUGAACCGAAGAAACAUUUUUGAAUAUUUAUGUAUCAUGUUAAUCAUGACCAUGUUUACUCACGAUUAUCAUUGCUAUCAUUUUAUCUAUAAAGAAGAAUGUUUGUGAAGCAGGUUAUAUACCGAUCAAUCGAUUUGUUAUUUGUUUUGUUCAUCCAUGAAAGACACUUGGACAUGUUUAACAAGAUGUCGUUUUGACACAAGAUGUGCGAGGCAUUGUAUCAUAUUUGUCAUGACGUUUUGGAAUGUCCAACAUUCCAUAUCCGAACAAAUAAAAGUUGUUGUUAUAGUUU
rnacentral:sRNA from 1 species